rnacentral:misc_RNA from 1 species
UCCGGUUUGUCACCGGCAGUCUCAUUAGAGUGCCCAACUGAAUGUAGCAACUAAUGACAAGGGUUGCGCUCGUUGCGGGACUUAACCCAACAUCUCACGACACGAGCUGACGACAGCCAUGCAGCACCUGUGUUCCGAUUCCCUUUCGGGCACAACCGGAUCUCUCCGGCCUCUCGGACAUGUCAAGGGUAGGUAAGGUGGGGAUGACGUGCCGCAACUAACCA